AAAUCACAUAUUUAAUGUGCUAGUUUUAUCUCCUCAACUAUGUGCCAAAACAAAUAUUUAUUUUUGAUCAAACUCAUCUGUAUAAUCCCUGAAACCAUCCCAAGUACUGUACACAAGUACCACCCUUUGGAAAUGCUGGAUUAGAGCACUGCUUUGGCUCCUAAUGUCUUCACUCCUAUUGUGAAAUUCUAAAAAUCCUCCAAAGGAAAAGCAAUUUCAGAAAGAAAAAAAAAAAAUGUAUUAUUCUUGAGCCAACAGCCAGCAUGACCCCUGGAACAAAACUGUCGUGUUUUGGGAGUUCCCAUUGUGGCUCAGUAGGUCACAAACCCGACUAGGAACCAUGAAGAUGCAGGUUCAAUCCCUGGGGUCGCUGAGUGGGUUAAGGAUGUGUUGCUGUGAGCUGCAGUAUAGGUUGCAGACGGGGCUUGGAUCCCACUGUGGCUGUGGUGCAGGCCGCAGCUGCAGCUCCAAUUCGACCUCUAACCUGGGAACCUCCAUAGGCCACAAGUGUGGCCCUAAAAAGCAAAAAAAAAAAGUGUGUUUUGACAACUUGUCCUCUAUAAUCACAGUUUACAGGAUGCAACUCUGACUCGACUUUCCUACCCUGGGGAGUCUGCUGGGCGCAGGCCACUGCACAGCCGCUGGCCUUCCACAUGGUCGACGGAAGGCCUCGGUCCCCAACUGCCCCAGGCCUGAGCCUGUGUCAGGUUGAGGGGGGGUGGCUACGGCCCAGAGGGAACGGUCAGUCCGUCCCCACCCACCUUCUCAAGAGCCUGGAGUGUUGGCCUUUCAUCCUAAGCAAGAGACCCCAAGGUCAGAGCAAGUCCUCGCUGGGCUGGCAGCCUCCUCUGCGUCCCUUCACGUCCUGAUCAUUCCUGGGACUCUUGCAAUGACCCAGUCCACCAGACUCACGAGGCUCCUUGGUGGGGAACUCUCUUCUCUGGGAAAAGACGGGCAGGCGAGGGGAGCUGGGCAGCCAAGAGCGGGGAACAGAAGAUGCCUCCCUGGUGAAAGAAGUCAUUGCUAACACACUCGCACAAUGAAACAAAGGCUGAACAAAUCAGCGGCCCGAGGCAUCAAGGUUGAUUUUUUUUUGUGUGUGUGUGUGUGUCUUUUUAGGGCUGCACCUGCGGAAUAUGGAGGUUCCCAGGCCAGGGGUCUAAUUGGAGCAGCAGCUGCCAGCCUACGCCACAGCCAUAGCAACUUGGGAUCUGAGCCUCGUCUUCGACCUACACCACAGCUCACGGCAACACCAGAUCCUUAACCCACGGAGCAAGGCCAAGGAUCGAACCUGCAUCCUCCUGGAUGCUAGCCAGAUUCGUUUUCGCUGAGCCACGACGGGAACUCCAUCAAGGCUGAUCUUUUGCUCCCUCAGAGGUUCUUGAAUCUGGCAUCAGAUUCAUUCGAAGGGUUUUAAAAAAUAAAAGUUAUACGCGGUUCUGGAGAAAUUCUACUCCUUGGUAUUUACCCACGGUAAAUGAAAACAUAUUCACAGCAGCUUUACUCACAAUGGCCUAGAAUAAUCGUCCAAGUCCCCUCGGUGGGCAAGGAGAGCAACAGCUGGAGGCACAGCCAUGCUGUGGGCACUGCUUGGCAAUCGCAAGCCACCAACUGUGGAUACGAUACACGCGCCAGCGGAGGAGCCGGGAAACCAUGAUGAGCAGCCAGAGAAAGCAGACACGCACAGCAGGUGACUUCGUGCGACUAUGCUAAGGUUUAAGAACAGGCAAAAUCCACCUACAGUGAGAGAAGGUGGAACACGGGUGGCCUAUGCAGGCUGUGGAUUCGGUUAACUUUCUGGGGCCGUGGAAGCGCUCUGUGUAUCUAUACACUUGUCAACACCUGCCCAAUCAUACUCCGAAGAUCUGGGCAUUUCACUGUAGAUAAAUGUUUACCUGAAUUUAAAAAUAAAACUAGGCGUUCCCGUCGUGAUGCAGCAGAAAUGAAUGUGACUAGGAACCAUGAGGUUGUGGGUUCGAUCCCUGUCUCACUCAGUGGGUUAAGGAUCCGGCGUUGCCAUGAGCUGGGGUGUAGGUUGCAGAUGUGGCUUGGGUCCCAUGUUGCUGUGGCUGUGGUGUAGGCCAGCAGCUUAUCUCCAAUUGGACCCCUAGCCUGGGAACCUCCAUAUGCCACGGGUGUGACCCUAAAAAGAAAAAAGAAAAGAAAAAAAAAUAAAGUUGCGUGUGAGUACAUGUGUGUGUAAAAUUGAACAUAAAAAAUCCAUAAUUUCAUGGAUAUCCAUUGGUUAGAGCAAUGCUAAAGUUUAAAAGAUGACUGUAAAGAAAAAUAUUGAGUAAAGAGUAUAUAUCCAGAUGGUACAUGGAUACAGCAACGAUAACAAAUCAUGAGGUGCUCAGCAAAUCUUUGAAUUUCGGGGUUUAUGCCACCCUUCCUCUGAAAUGAUCCCAGAGACCCAGGCGUUUUGGGGGGUGGGGAGGGGGAGAUACAUAAGGGAUUGGUCCAUGUGGGUCCGUUGAAAGGAAAAAAAAAAAUGGGCAAUUAGUUCAGAAUCUCUCCAGGUGGCACUGGAAAUUAGCUGGUUCUAAGUCAAGAGGCCAUUUGCUAGAAAAACCGAGACCUUGGAGAAUAUACUGGGGCCGUUUCUCUGAAGGGACAUGUACUGUGGUCACAAUAGAGAUUCUGCUACUUUGCUCCCCUAGAGUAAAAGGGAAAGACCCCCAAUCCUCACCCUGCCGUAUCCCCAGAGCCAAGCACUUCCGGUCAGCAGAUCUCCCGCGGGAGCACUUCCUGUGUGUGAUGCCCACAUACGGCAGCCUACCGGGCGACCCAGGACUGGGACAGCUGCCAGGCUGAAGGACCGACAGACAGGAAAGCCAAGCCCAUGGGGAAGUGCACAGCCAUGGAUAAGAGUUUGUUGACCAAAUAAAAACACAGAGCUGUCCCUAACCUUGGGUGGCGCUCUGGUUCUUAAGUCUAUGAGCAGGUCCAUUCUGGGAAUCCUUCUUUCCUACCAAUAUCCCCAAAGUCCUUUCUUUUCUUCCUUCCUGGUUCUGACUGGAAUGCGUCCCAACUUGGAUAGAACUACUUUUGGACGUCAGAGCCCAGGGUCAAGGCCCUGCCAGCGAGGCAGGAAAGAAGGGCUUUGUCUGCCCUGCAGGUCUCGGGGGGCCACCUACCCGGGUUCAGAAAGCACAUGGGUUUCCCCCUGUUUCUCCUGGGCCCUUUAGGCCUAAGGCCUUGUGUGUGGCAGCUGUGGAAGGGACACAAAGAUGUCACCACCUUGUUGGCAAGGCACUCGGUCCAGCUGGGAGCAGAGAGGAACAGAAGCAUAAAAGAGGAAGAAGGAGGCCCUGAAGGAGGAGGGCGCUGGGGAAGGAGCCAGCGAGGCGCAGAGCACAGAGCGGGGGCUCCCUCCAUCCUCAGAGCUCCUCCUCCACGGUCACUCCACAGUCGGUGAGGCCACAGGAGGAGCUGCUGCUUAUGCAGUUUACAAGGCGCCAGGCACUGGGCAGAGGCUCUCCCUCAGCGCGCGUAGCAGAGCAGCAGAGAGCACAAGCUCUGGACUCCUUCCUUCAGUCGGCACACGUCGCUGAGCGCCUACUGUGUGUCCGAUGCUACUCUAGGCACUGGAGAAACAGCAGUGCCAUGUCCAAGUCCCUACUAAGAAGUUACAGGAGUUCCCAUCGUGACACAGCAGAAAUGAAUCCAACUAGAACCAUGAGGUUGUGGGUUCAAUCCCUGGCCUUGCUCAGUGGGUCAAGGAUCUGGUGCAGUCGUGAGCUGUGUUGUAGGUCGAAGACGCGGCUCUGAUCCUGUGUCGCUGUGGCGCUGGGGUAGGCCAGCAGCUGUAGCUCCAAUUAGACCCCUAGUCUGGGAACCUCCAUAUGCCACAGGUGCAGCCUCAAAAGGACAAAAGACAAAAAAAAAAAAAAAAAAAAAAGAAGUUACAGAUGCCAGAAGCAUCACCUGGACCAGGUGCGGUGUAAACCUGUCUCUGCCUUUCACUAGAUAAUCGACCAGUGGCCCCUGUGGUUGAUUCAAAGAAUGUACUGUAAAUGUUUGUGUGAGGAUUAAACGAAACAAAACGUGUGAAGUUCGUAGAGUGGUGCCCAGCGCCCACUAAAGGCUCAGCGAAUACUGGCUACUACUGCCAUACUUGAGGUAGAGGCCCUUAUCCCCAUUUGGGUGUUGUCCUGGUGAUGAAAUAUA
rnacentral:lncRNA from 1 species